rnacentral:lncRNA from 1 species
GUUAAAAGCUUUAAUGACAAAUAAAAUUCAAGGACAAAACUGAGCAACACUUUCCUAUUCAAACAAAGAUUUUUUUUAUUCAAGUCACUUCCAUGACUUCGGCCACAUGCAUAGCCAUAGGCUAAACGGGGACGAAAGAUACCAGAGUUACAAUUUCAUAAAUCGAAAAUAAACUGACAAAGUCAUGGCUAAAAAUGAAAAGGACAAACAGAC